rnacentral:rRNA from 1 species
UACGUAGGGUGCGAGCGUUAAUCGGAAUUACUGGGCGUAAAGCGUGUGUAGGCGGAUCGUUAAGUACCUUGUGAAAUCCCACGGCUCAACCGUGGAACUGCUGGGUAUACUGGCGAUCUUGAGCCACCUAGGGGCGAGCGGAACAAGCGGUGGAGCGGUGAAAUGCGUAGAUAUCGCUUGGAACGCCAAUGGUGAAAACAGCUCGCUGGGGGUGUGCUGACGCUGAGACACGAAAGCCAGGGAAGCGAACGGG